AGUGAACGCUGGCGGUAGGCCUAACACAUGCAAGUUGAACGGCAGCACAGUAAGAGCUUGCUCUUACGGGUGGCGAGUGGCGGACGGGUGAGGAAUACAUCGGAAUCUACUUUUUCGUGGGGGAUAACGUAGGGAAACUUACGCUAAUACCGCAUACGACCUACGGGUGAAAGCAGGGGAUCUUCGGACCUUGCGCGAUUGAAUGAGCCGAUGUCGGAUUAGCUAGUUGGCGGGGUAAAGGCCCACCAAGGCGACGAUCCGUAGCUGGUCUGAGAGGAUGAUCAGCCACACUGGAACUGAGACACGGUCCAGACUCCUACGGGAGGCAGCAGUGGGGAAUAUUGGACAAUGGGCGCAAGCCUGAUCCAGCCAUACCGCGUGGGUGAAGAAGGCCUUCGGGUUGUAAAGCCCUUUUGUUGGGAAAGAAAAGCAGCAGGUUAAUACCCCGCUGUUCUGACGGUACCCGAAGAAUAAGCACCGGCUAACUUCGUG
rnacentral:rRNA from 1 species